CCCUAAGGCGAGGCUGAAAAGCGUAGUCGAUGGGAAACAGGUUAAUAUUCCUGUACUUGGUGUUACUGCGAAGGGGGGACGGAGAAGGCUAGGCUAGCCGGGCGACGGUUGUCCCGGUUUAAGCGUGUAGGGGUGUGACCUGGUAAAUCCGGUUACAUAUCAACCCUGAGGCGUGAUGACGAUGCACUACGGUGCAGAAGUAGUUGAUGCCCUGCUUCCAGGAAAAGCCUCUAAGCUCUAGGUAACAUUAAAUCGUACCCCAAACCGACACAGGUGGUCAGGUAGAGAAUACCAAGGCGCUUGAGAGAACUCGGGUGAAGGAACUAGGCAAAAUGGUGCCGUAACUUCGGGAGAAGGCACGCUGGCAUGUAGGUGAAGUCCUUCGCGGAUGGAGCUGAAGCCAGUCGAAGAUACCAGCUGGCUGCAACUGUUUAAUAAAAACACAGCACUGUGCAAACACGAAAGUGGACGUAUACGGUGUGACGCCUGCCCGGUGCUGGAAGGUUAAUUGAUGGGGUCAGCCGCAAGGCGAAGCUCUUGAUCGAAGCCCCAGUAAACGGCGGCCGUAACUAUAACGGUCCUAAGGUAGCGAAAUUCCUUGUCGGGUAAGUUCCGACCUGCACGAAUGGCGUAAUGAUGGCCAGGCUGUCUCCACCCGAGACUCAGUGAAAUUGAACUCGCUGUGAAGAUGCAGUGUACCCGCGGCAAGACGGAAAGACCCCGUGAACCUUUACUAUAGCUUGACACUGAACAUUGAGCCUUGAUGUGUAGGAUAGGUGGGAGGCUUUGAAGCGUGGACGCCAGUCUGCGUGGAGCCAUCCUUGAAAUACCACCCUUUAAUGUUUGAUGUUCUAACUCGGCCCCGUGAUCCGGGGUGAGGACAGUGUCUGGUGGGUAGUUUGACUGGGGCGGUCUCCUCCCAAAGAGUAACGGAGGAGCACGAAGGUUAGCUAAUCACGGUCGGACAUCGUGAGGUUAGUGCAAAGGCAUAAGCUAGCUUGACUGCGAGAGUGACGGCUCGAGCAGGUACGAAAGUAGGUCUUAGUGAUCCGGUGGUUCUGAAUGGAAGGGCCAUCGCUCAACGGAUAAAAGGUACUCCGGGGAUAACAGGCUGAUACCGCCCAAGAGUUCAUAUCGACGGCGGUGUUUGGCACCUCGAUGUCGGCUCAUCACAUCCUGGGGCUGAAGUAGGUCCCAAGGGUAUGGCUGUUCGCCAUUUAAAGUGGUACGCGAGCUGGGUUUAGAACGUCGUGAGACAGUUCGGUCCCUAUCUGCCGUGGGCGUUGGAAGAUUGAGAGGGGUUGCUCCUAGUACGAGAGGACCGGAGUGAACGCACCACUGGUGUUCGGGUUGUCAUGCCAAUGGCAUUGCCCGGUAGCUAAGUGCGGAAAAGAUAAGCGCUGAAAGCAUCUAAGCGCGAAACUUGCCUCAAGAUGAGUCUUCCCUGGGCCUUCAAGGCCCCUGAAGGAACGUUUAAGACUAAGACGUUGAUAGGCUGGGUGUGUAAGUGCAGCGAUGCAUUGAGCUAACCAGUACUAAUGAUCCGUGAGGCUUAACCUUACAACACCGAAGGUGUUU
rnacentral:rRNA from 1 species